GGGCAACUUCUCCUUUGGCAGA
rnacentral:miRNA from 1 species